rnacentral:rRNA from 1 species
GACAAACGCUGGCGGCAUGCCUAACACAUGCCAGUCGAACGGACAGACCAGGGAAGCUUUUCGGAGUGGAACUGGAAAGUUAGUGGCGGAUGGGCGAGUAACGCGUGGACAACCUACCUUGUAAAGGGGAAUAACCUCGAGAAAUCGAAGCUAAUACCCCAUAAUAACCUUGCUUCGCAUGAAGUAAGGAGGAAAGGCGGCCUUAGCGCUGUCGAUACAAGAUGGGUCCGCGUCUGAUUAGCUAGUUGGUGAGGUAAAGGCUCACCAAGGCGACGAUCAGUAGCCGGCCUGAGAGGGUGAACGGCCACAUUGGGACUGAGACACGGCCCAAACUCCUACGGGAGGCAGCAGUGGGGAAUCUUCCGCAAUGGGCGAAAGCCUGACGGAGCAAUGCCGCGUGAGUGAAGAAGGCCUUCGGGUUGUAAAACUCUGUCCUUAUCGAAGAGAGAGUGUUGUAGUAACUGACAAUACUAGGACGGUAGAUGAGGAGGAAGCCCCGGCUAACUAUGUG